UUAUCCUAGAACGUUUGCAAUUAAUGCAUGUUAAAUUGUUAUUUUCUUUAGCCGCCGCAUUGCAUUAAUCUGCAAUGUCUGUUAAAUAUGUUUUGGUAUCUGACGAAGAAUAUGGCGAAGCUGUUGAGCUUCCUUUAGAAGAAAAUGGAACAUUAUUAUUGACUACCUUAACUGCUCAAUUUCCUGGAGCUAGCGGCCUAAAAUUUCGCACUGAAAAUAAUGUAGUGCGAGGUGUUAGAUUAGCCGAUGAACGUUUUCAUGUACCUGAUAAUGAAUGGGGGAAAACUCCAUAUUAUUGUGUUUUUCCUAAGGUUGAGAACAAAAGAAAAAUUGAUGAUAGUGUGGAAAAUCCAACUGCAAAAACUAAGAAAUUGGAAACAAAAUUAAAAUGCUCAGACUUGGUUGUUCUGAAUAUACCAUAUACUUAUGAUGAACAGAAACUUAAAGAAUAUUUCAGACAAUUUGGUGAACUCCUCAUGUUACAAAUUAAAAGAGACAAAAAUGGACAAUCUAGAGGUUAUGGAUUUUUACGCUAUACUAAUUUAGAAUCACAAGUACGUGUCUUAUCACAGCGUCACAAAAUUGACGGUAGAAAUUGUGAAGUAAAAAUUCCAAAAUCUAAAGAAGGAAAUAGUUCUGAACUUUCUGGCAAAGUUUUUGUUGGUCGUGUUACUGAAGAUUUAUUAGCUGAAGACAUUCGUGAAUAUUUUAGUAAAUUUGGAGAAGUUAUCAACGUAUUUGUACCUAAAAAUCCAUUUAGAGGGUUUGCAUUUGUAACAUUUCUGGAUCCUGAAGUGGCAGCUAGUUUAUGUGGAGAAGAUCAUAUUAUAAAAGAUGUUUCUGUUCGUGUUUCGGAAGCUGCACCUAAACCUCAAACUCCAAAGAACCGUCAUCAAACACCUCCACCUAUUGAACCCUGGGAGCGAUUAAAUAAUUGUCAUAAUGACAACUACCGAAAUUGGUACCAUCCUCAACUUGAUAACCGUGGUAAUGUAGAUAUGCCUAACUUACAAUCUCUGGGAAUAAAUGGACAAGAUAGCUAUAGUCCAAUGAUGCCUUUAAGUCCUGCUAUUGUAGCUGCUGCCCUAACUCAAGCUGCUGGGUGGGGCUUAGUAAAUGGUCGUAUGAUGCCUCCUCCAUCUUCCUCUGGAGGAAACAGCAAUCAGUGGACUCAUAGAAAUAACUAUAAUAAUAGGAAACGUUCUAAUAAUGAUUACAACUCGUCUAGCAAUCGAUAAUUAAAAUCACGCAUAAUGGUGUUACAAACAUUUCAUUAAAUAUAGGUUAUUCAAAGUUUGUAUGACAAAAAUGUAAUUUAUGAAUGUUAAAACAAAAAAUAUAAAUGUCUUGGAUGUGUCUGAAGCCAAGUGCCAUGUUUUGUUUAAUGAUUUAACAAUGAAAUAUUUUUAAGUUAUGUUUGUAUGUAUAAUGGAGUUCAUUAUAUUUUAAACAAUAUUAACUGAGCAAAAUCUCAAAAAAUGUGGCUGUCUGAUGAAUAAAAUCAUUGGGUGUUUUAAAAGAAAUUUGUUUUCUUUAAAAAGUCAGAAUAUCAUGAAAACUAAACAAAUUUAAAGUAGUUUUAUACAAGCAAAACUCAAUUUGAAAAUAAUAGCUGACUUUAUUCCAUGGAGCAUAUUUAAUGAUAAUUAUAACAUUUAAACAAAAAUAUUUGAUUAUACUGAUACUAAAAAUGCACUGAAUUUGUAUGCAACCAGUAUAAAAUGAUGACCAACUUAUAUUGUAUUAAAAUAUUAAAAAUUGUCAUUAUUAAAGAUUUUUAUUAAAAUAAUUAAUAGUAAAAAUAUUUACUAGAAUAAACUA